CAUGGCAUUAUAAGACAUAAAUCAUAAACAACAAAAUAGGCAUUUUAAGCCAUAUGUGAAGACUUUUUUUUAAAUAAUCAUAUUUUUUAAAAAAAUUUCAAAAAUAACCAUAAUUUAAAAAAAAUUACAAAAAUGGGCAGUUUUUGCCCUAAAGACACAUGGGUGCCACCCUAGAUGGCGCCUACCCUUUAGUUGGAGGGCAAGUUGCCACUAGGAGUGGCGCCUACUCCUAAAUUAUUUAAAUUUUUUUUCUUUUUGCUUUUUU
rnacentral:lncRNA from 1 species